rnacentral:rRNA from 1 species
GAUUUCCUUAGUAACGGCGAGUGAAAAGGAAAGAGUCCAUCGCCAAGUCCCGACACUUGACGUGUUCGGGAGAUGCGGCGUUAGUGUAUUAGUGCAUCGCACGUUGUCUUUAACUUUAAGUUUCUUUGACAGGAACUCCCAAAGUGGGUGCUAGGCCCAUAAAAGAUUAAGACAGACGUGUGCAGACUAAUGCAUUUUAGAGUCAGGUUGCUUGAAAGUGCAGCCUAAAGUAGGUGGUAAACUCCAUCUAAGACUAAAUAUGACAGUGAGACCGAUAGCAAACAAGUACCGUGAGGGAAAGUUGCAAAGAACUUUGAAGAGAGAGUUCAAUAGGACGUGAAACCACUGGGAGGUAAACGGGUGGAACUACGAAGUAUGCUCUCAAGUCGAUUCAAUCAUUGUUGCUARUUGACAGUGUCUGAUUUGGGUCUUUUUGGAGGCUGUUUGGAUACUGUUGAUGAUUAGUAACAAUGGUGCAUUUCGUACUUGAGAUGCUAAAGCCACGUCCGACUAGGUGACUGGAACGGUUGUAGAAUAGAUCCAAAUAAGGUAUCCACUAAAUGCUUGCAUUUGGUGGUGUUAUAGAUUUGGAUCGGURCCGUUGCCGAGUGUGCUGGUCGGUGCAAUUUCUCUUGAUGAGUGUUGCAAGCAAAGACCAUGUGUGUUUGUGACAGUAAAUUUGUGUGAAUCGAUUGACCUUUUUGUGUCUUGCGGCAUAGAAAGACAGUUUUUUGAUGCGGAUUUAUUGUUACCUACAUGAUGUGGUUGAGCAAACUGUGGUGCGAGUAGGUCGGUCUCCACCCGACCCGUCUUGAAACACGGACCAAGGAGCCUAACAUAUACGCAAGUCGCUCGGUCUUGUUUAGGCCAGAGAGGCGCAAUGAAAGUAACGCUAUGAGAUUAGUUAUCUAAUUGCAAUAGCAGCCCGCCUACUUUCUUUAUUGGGAAUAUGGCGGAGCGGGAGCGUAUACGUUGGUACCCGAAAGAUGGUGAACUAUGCCUGGGCAAGACGAAGCCAGAGGAAACUCUGGUGGAGGUCUGUAGCGAUUCUGACGUGCAAAUCGAUCGUCAGACCUGGGUAUAGGGGCGAAAGACUAAUCGAACCAUCUAGUAGCUGGUUCCCUCCGAAGUUUCCCUCAGGAUAGCAGGCGUUUAGAAAUUCAGUUUCAUCCGGUAAAGCUAAUGAUUAGAGGUCUUGGGGCCGAAACGGCCUCAACCUAUUCUCAAACUUUAAAUGGGUGAGAUGCUUGACUUGCUUGAUUGAAGCCAAGCAAUUGAAUGUAAGUGCCUAGUGGGCCAUUUUUGGUAAGCAGAACUGGCGCUGUGGGAUGAACCAAACGUCGAGUUAAGGUAUCAAAUGCAUACGCUCAUGAGACCCCAUAAAAGGUGUUGGUUGCUAUAGACAGCAGGACGGUGGCCAUGGAAGUCGGAAUCC